AUCCAGAUGACGAGUCGUAAACAGGAUGAAAUGCGUGUUCUGGAU
rnacentral:hammerhead_ribozyme from 1 species